GCGGGGCGGGCCCGGCACUAUGACGAGCCUCAGCUACAGCUGCAUUGCCAACGGGCGCACCCUGCUCGCCGAGCUCAGCCUGCGGGGGGGCUGCUUCCGGGUACAGACCGCCCCGCGGGAACAGCGCGCCAGCCGCUUUGGGGACCGCGCUGACCCGGGGCCUGCUCUGUGGCUUGGCUUCUGAUGCUGCUUCAUCAGUGGUAAAUUUAGUUCUUCACAAAGGCUUGAAAAAAACCACAGCUCACAUUGGAAGAUUUGCAAGGCUUUCAUUGGUAGCCCCUUGAUAUCGCAAGUGACGUUUGCUCAUCCUUUUGAAUUCAAUGCAGAUUUUCAACAGGUGCUGGGGAAAUAUAUGAAAAUCUAGUUAAUAUUUAACUAGAACUUUAAACAGUCCUUUUCCACUGCGUCAUCUGAUCACACACACACAUCUUACAAAGAGCAGAGGAAGAGAGAGAGAGGGAGAGAUGUGUGCAUGAUGGAGUACAAUAGGAAGUCAGGUGAUAUUACAGUUUCUACGCUGCAAAUUCAAGUUGAUGAUGUCAAAAAUGUUAUGACCCAAAAUAUUGAUAAGGUUUUGCAAAGAGAAGAAAACCUGAGUGAGCUUGUUGACAGAACAGAUGAUCUCCAAAUAGCGGCUGAUACUUUCCAAAAAAACACCACAAAGAUUUCCAGGAAGAUGUGGUGGAAAAACGCCAAAAUGAUGAUAAUUAUUGGAGUUGUUCUCAUUAUUAUUUUAACAUUUAUCAUUCUCCUAGCUACAGGUGUUAUUCCAACAUAAACUUUUGAAUAUUUUUUUGCCCAACAUGAAAAUUUUAUAAAAUUUUAUUUAAAAAUUAUUCUAGAGCACAAAUAUUUGUUAUUUUGUAUAUUGUUCAAGAACUACUGAACCAUUAACACCUGGUUGCUUGCAUUCGUUAAAGUAAUAAAGUAAACUACGGUAUUUUCA